UACAGAGGGUGCAAGCGUUGUUCGGAAUUAUUGGCGUAAAGCGCUUGUAGGCGGUCUGUUAAGUCGCGUGUGAAAUCCCCAGGCUUAACCUGGGAAGUGCGCGCGAAACUGGCGGACUUGAAUGCCGGAGAGGGUCGCGGAAUUCCCGGUGUAGAGGUGAAAUUCGUAGAUAUCGGGAGGAACACCAGUGGCGAAGGCGGCGACCUGGACGGACAUUGACGCUGAGG
rnacentral:rRNA from 1 species